rnacentral:tRNA from 1 species
GGUGAGUGUAGCUCAGUUCGGUUAGAGUAUUGGUCUGUGGCACCAAGGGUCGCGAGUUCAAAUCUCGUCUCUCACCC